rnacentral:rRNA from 1 species
UACGUAGGCAGCAAGCGUUGUUCGGAGUUACUGGGCGUAAAGAGUGUGUAGGCGGUGCUCUAAGUUUGGUGUGAAAUCUCCCGGCUCAACCGGGAGGGUGCGCCGAAAACUGGGAGACUAGAGUGCGGGAUGGGAGAGUAGAAUUCCUGGUGUAGCGGUGAAAUGCGUAGAUAUCAGGAGGAAUACCGGUGGUGUAGACGGCUCUCUGGACCGCCACUGACGCUGAGACACGAAAGCGUGGGUAGCAAACAGG